rnacentral:rRNA from 1 species
CAGGCCUAACACAUGCAAGUCGAGGGGUAACAGAGAAGCUUGCUUCUGCUGACGACCGGCGCACGGGUGCGUAACGCGUAUGCAACCUACCUCAUACUGGAGCAUAGCCCUUGGAAACGAGGAUUAAUACUCCAUGGUAUCAUUCUUUCGCAUGUUAGAAUGAUUAAAGAAUUUCGGUAUGAGAUGGGCAUGCGUCCCAUUAGCUAGUUGGUGAGGUAACGGCUCACCAAGGCAACGAUGGGUAGGGGGCCUGAGAGGGUGGUCCCCCACACUGGUACUGAGACACGGACCAGACUCCUACGGGAGGCAGCAGUGAGGAAUAUUGGUCAAUGGAGGCAACUCUGAUCCAGCCAUGCCGCGUGCAGGAAGACUGCCCUAUGGGUUGUAAACUGCUUUUAUACAGGAAGAAACACUCCCUCGUGAGGGAGCUUGACGGUACUGUACGAAUAAGGAUCGGCUAACUCCGUGCCAGCAGCCGCGGUAAUACGGAGGAUCCAAGCGUUAUCCGGAAUUAUUGGGUUUAAAGGGUCCGUAGGUGGUUUGCUAAGUCAGAGGUGAAAUCCUGCCGCUUAACGGUAGCACUGCCUUUGAUACUGGCAAACUUGAGUCAUUGUGAAGUAGUUAGAAUGUGUAGUGUAGCGGUGAAAUG